AGGAGCACGUGUGCCCAAGGCCACGAAAGGAGUCACGUGAGAGCAGCGCUUCCAACCCACGUCGUCGUGACACCGCGCCCCGCACCCAGCCCACUGCCGUCAGUGUGUGGAUGACUCACAAAGGCCCUUGGAGGAAUGGCUGAUCUCACCGUGCAGUGACCAAAGCAUCCUGUGACUAUAUAAACAAAUACAAGGUACUGGUCUUUUACAGAUGGGGGGACCCGGGACGCCCGUAGCAGGUUAACAGUGCUGUGCAUACUUGUGGCACUCCCUAGGUCUGAACACAACGAUGUGACAGUUCUUAGAGGGUUUCUUGUGCUCAGGCCACAUCACUUCUACUCAAAUCAUCCGGAUCGUUCUACAGGGAAAGACGCUCCUUGUUCCAAAAAGGAGAGGAGACGUCUGAACGUCAUCACUCCACACGGCAUCCAAGAGGGAAGUUCCCUCGCACUCCACAGAGCACAUGUGCGUUUGGAAGCGUGCGCUCUUAUCCGUCGGAGACGGCGCGCAUCCCCUCCGCACAGCUAACCUCGGGGACGCUCCCUGCUUUGUGAACCUGCGCGUCCAGCACGAUGGCAGCGAGGCGAUGACAGAGACUCACCGAGGAAGACGUGUGCCCUUUAAGAAUACAACCCUGUCUUUGUGUUGUCAUCCCGUCUGGAUUUUUAUUAUAAUCCCAGAGAGCCGGCCAAAGGGCAUUUCAUGGUAUUUUUAUUUGUCUUUCCCUUCUAAAGCCAAAGAUUAAAAUAAUAAUUAGUAGUCACAAACCCUGUUCGGGACGCCAGGAGCUGGAGCCUGAAGACCUCGGAGGUCUGAAGCGAGUACCUUUUAACUCAGUAAUGACGAACACGCGCCCCACUGUCCGUCCCUCCUGCCCUCAGAGCCGCCGGGCUCCCGGGGCCGUGCUGGCCACGGUGUUCCUGCAGCGGUUUAAGGACCACCCUGUUCCUGGAGCUGCCUCACGCUGCUGCCUUUUGCUAACCAUCUGAGGGUUGAAUAAAGGCCGUGUUCUAGG